rnacentral:misc_RNA from 1 species
GGUGAACCUGCGGAAGGAUCAUUAACACGUAUCCAACGUUAAAAACACCCCUGUGAACCCGUUAAACUUGCUCCUCAGGCCCUGCACGCCUAGCAAUCCCUGGUAAAUCAUUGUCUGACCAGAUUUUGAGUCAGGGACUUCUGACGUGACGCGAAGAAUGUCUGGAAAAAUGGCAUCUGCGUGAGAUGAAGCUAUGAGGUAAGAUGCACUUGUGCUCCCCAAGUACCCAUGUUUCUGAAAGCGGGACAUGGAAUACGUAAGGAGCGACGCUGUAACGUUUGCUGUAGGCCCACACGGCCGGCAUCAUGGUGCCUGGACUUCUGUCCCACAGAUCGGUUAGAUCCCGGUCCUGAUGUCAAUUUAGCGAGGACUAAAAGCCUUGCACCAAAAACCGAACAACUGUUAACAAUGGAUAUCUUGGUUCUC